rnacentral:rRNA from 1 species
UGGGGAAUUUUGGACAAUGGGGGCAACCCUGAUCCAGCCAUGCCGCGUGAGUGAAGAAGGCCUUCGGGUUGUAAAGCUCUUUCGGUGGGAACGAAACGGGCAGCGCUAAUACCGCUGCUCAAUGACGGUACUCACAGAAGAAGCACCGGCUAACUACGUGCCAGCAGCCGCGGUAAUACGUAGGGUGCGAGCGUUAAUCGGAAUUACUGGGCGUAAAGCGUGCGCAGGCGGUUUGCCAAGCUCGAUGUGAAAGCCCCGGGCUUAACCUGGGAAUUGCAUUGAGGACUGGCAGGCUCGAGUGCGGCAGAGGGGGGUGGAAUUCCACGUGUAGCAGUGAAAUGCGUAGAGAUGUGGAGGAACACCGAUGGCGAAGGCAGCCCCCUGGGCCGACACUGACGCUCAUGCACGAAAGCGUGGGGAGCAAACAGGAUUAGAUACCCUGGUAGUCCACGCCCUAAACGAUGUCGACUGGUUGUUGGGGAAGGCAACUUCCUUAGUAACGAAGCUAACGCGUGAAGUCGACCGCCUGGGGAGUACGGCCGCAAGGUUAA